rnacentral:tRNA from 1 species
GGAAGCGCAAAGGGUUCCGGUGUCCCUCCUGGACUUCAAAUCCAGUGGCGGGCUCUAAUAAAGUCCUCGGUGGGUUCGACUCCCACGCGCUUCCGCCA